rnacentral:rRNA from 1 species
UACGUAUGGAGCAAGCGUUGUUCGGAAUUACUGGGCGUAAAGGGAGCGUAGGCGGACAUUUAAGUCAGGGGUGAAAUCCCGAGGCUCAACCUCGGAACUGCCUUUGAUACUGGAUGUCUUGAGUGUGAGAGAGGUGAGUGGAACUCCGAGUGUAGAGGUGAAAUUCGUAGAUAUUCGGAAGAACACCAGUGGCGAAGGCGACUCACUGGCUCAUUACUGACGCUGAGGCUCGAAAGCGUGGGGAGCAAACAGG